rnacentral:rRNA from 1 species
GGGUGAGUAACACGUGGGUAACCUGCCCAAGAGACUGGGAUAACACCUGGAAACAGAUGCUAAUACCGGAUAACAACACUAGACGCAUGUCUAGAGUUUGAAAGAUGGUUCUGCUAUCACUCUUGGAUGGACCUGCGGUGCAUUAGCUAGUUGGUAAGGUAACGGCUUACCAAGGCAAUGAUGCAUAGCCGAGUUGAGAGACUGAUCGGCCACAUUGGGACUGAGACACGGCCCAAACUCCUACGGGAGGCAGCAGUAGGGAAUCCUCCACAAUGGACGAAAGUCUGAUGGAGCAACGCCGCGUGAGUGAAGAAGGGUUUCGGCUCGUAAAGCUCUGUUGGUAGUGAAGAAAGAUAGAGGUAGUAACUGGCCUUUAUUUGACGGUAAUUACUUAGAAAGCCACGGCUAACUACGUGCCAGCAGCCGCGGUAAUACGUAGGUGGCAAGCGUUGUCCGGAUUUAUUGGGCGUAAAGCGAGUGCAGGCGGUUCAAUAAGUCUGAUGUGAAAGCCUUCGGCUCAACCGGAGAAUUGCAUCAGAAACUGUUGAACUUGAGUGCAGAAGAGGAGAGUGGAACUCCAUGUGUAGCGGUGGAAUGCGUAGAUAUAUGGAAGAACACCAGUGGCGAAGGCGGCUCUCUGGUCUGCAACUGACGCUGAGGCUCGAAAGCAUGGGUAGCGAACAGGAUUAGAUACCCUGGUAGUCCAUGCCGUAAACGAU